GAUGAACGCUGGCGGCGUGCCUAAUACAUGCAAGUCGAGCGGACGGACGAGAAGCUUGCUUCUCUGAUGUUAGCGGCGAACAAGUCAGUAACACCUUGCUCACCUACCUAUAAGACUUGGAUAACUUCGGGAAACCUGAGCUAAUACCGGAUGAUAUUUUGAACCGCAUGGUUCAAAAGGGAACGACGUUCUUGCUGUCCCUUAUACAUUGAUCCGGUCUGCAGUAGCUAGUUGGUAAGGUAACGACUCACCAAGGCAACGAUGCAUAGCCGACCUGAGAGGGUGAUAGGCGACACUGGAGCGGGAACGGGGUCAAGAGUCCUACGGGAGGCAGCAGUAGGGAAUCUGCCGCAAUGGGCGAGAGCCUGACGGAGCGACCGCGCGUGUGUCAUGACGGUGUUCGGAUCGUAAAAAUGGGUUAUUAGGGGAGAACAUAUGUGUAAGUAGCUGUGGAGAAAGUGACGGUACCUGCAGAGAAAGCCACGGCUAACUACGUG
rnacentral:rRNA from 1 species